UUGCUCCCAACUUUCACUAUGAUAAUGAGGUUACAAACACCACUAACUUGUGAUGUUGUCUUUUGGUUUCAGAUACAAUCUCAAGAAGAACAAAGAUCAAAAGACAAAGAACAAAGAGGAGAAAGCUUGCUUGAAACUCCAACGUUCUCUCACUUUCUCUAGAACUCUCUUUUUUUUGCUUGUCUUGUCUCACCUACCUCCACUCACUCUUAUUCUCUUACACAUUGUAAUAUAUAAGAGAAGCAAUGGAUCUUUUGUCCUUCUUCCUCAUGUCAUUUUCGUCGGCCCAUUUAAGGCCCACUUUAGUGUGGUUUUGGUUUUGUCAAACCAACAACAAUUCUCCACCUUUUGACAAACACCACACACAUCGACGAAAUCAACGACAUCAACCUCUGAAAUUCUAAAUAAUACCCAACCUCAUCUCUUUCUCAUCUUGUGAAAUUAACACCACCACUAGAAUCCAAACUCCUCCGGCGGCCUCCUCCGGCGAACAAACACCUUUGUUCCCACCAGCCAUCUUCUCCUCCUUUUCCCACCAUGCUCACUAGUUCUCCACAUGGGGAAAAUGCAGAUUCUUAUUUUCCCAUGAUAAACUUGGAAAUUGGAGGUUAAUCCGGUCACCCUUGCAUGUUCACCAGCGAAACCAAGCUUCAGCGUCCACCUCUCUCAUGGCGACUCUCUCUUCCAACCUUCUUCCCCGUUUUCUCCGGUUAGACUUCACGGGUUAGUGUGACCAGGGACGCUUCACAAGGCAAUGAAUUCAAUGUUUCCUCUGCAAAUCUCAGGUAUAUAUGGUCUCUUCCUUUCUGAAAUUGCUGCAACAAUUAGAGAUUGGAUUCUUAUAAUUCCCAGAGUUAUUGAUGCUUAAUUCCACUCUUUUCUCCAAUUAAGCUUCUCCACUGAAUCCAACAACGCUUCCUCUGCAAAUCCAGGUACAUCUAAUCUCUUUCUUGUCUCCUCUCAACAUUUAUAGAUUAGGAUCUUCUGAAAUUUCCAGAAAUUUUGAAGCCCCUCCUUAAAUAAUGAGUUUUGAAAUCGUUUAGGUGAUGAGCUCCACCUUGUCAUCACCAGCAAAAUUCAUUGCUUCUCCCGUGAGAUCAUGUUCAGCCUUUGGUAAGUGAUUUUCCUCACCAUCUCCUUUUGCCUUAAUCUAACUCUUUUGCGAUUCAUUUUUUAACCAAGAGAUCUAACUUGAUCUACUCCGUUAACAGUUGAAUCACAACCUCUGGCUUCUUAAACUUGUUUUUUUUUUUUUUUUCAAAAAAACUCCACAUGGAACUCGUAAAUCCGACACGGUUCCAGUACUUAACAGGUAACACCAACUCCAAUUUAAUUCCUUACUCAAUCCUAACACUUGAGUACUUCUCACAAAACUAACGCAUCUUAUUAUUAUUAUUUUUUUUUUUGUUUUUUUUGUUUUGCGAGACUGUUGGAGUUACCUGUUGCCGCUACUCCACCUUAGUGGAUGUUGAGGAGCCCGCAGCAGAGCUGGAACUUCUCACCAGGUACCGUCUUAGUUAGGAAAUCUGCUGGGUUUGCUGUUGUGUGAAUCUUGUGUAGAACAACAUCACCUUGUGCCACUAUAUCCCUGAUGAAAUGGAAUUUAGUGUCUAUAUGCUUUGUUCUUUCGUGAUGAACUGAAUUCUUUGCUAGGGCUAGAGCACUCUGUGAAUCACAAUGAACUUGAACACUUUCUUGCUUAAACCCCAAUUCUGAACACAAGCCUUUCAACCAAAUAGCCUCUUUCACUGCUUCAGUUAGAGCCAUGUACUCUGCCUCAGUGCUUGAAAGAGCCACAACUGAUUGCAAACAUGAUUUCCAUGAAACUGUAUUUCCACCAACUUUAAAUACAAUCCCUGUGACAGACCUUCUUCUAUCCAUGUCUGUUGCAUAAUCUGAAUCUGAGAACCCUUCAAUGCAAAAAUUAGAGCUCUUCUUAAAUGUCAAAUUUUGAGUGUAUGAACCCUUUAAGUACCUUAACACCCAUUUCACUGCUGACCAAUGUUUUCUCCCUGGAUUUGACAUAAACCUGCUGAUGAGACCAACUGCAAACCCCAAAUCUGGCCUUGAACCCACCAUAGCAUACAUUAAACUCCCCACUGCACUUGCAUAUGGAAUUCUUUCCAUAUGUAUAGCUUCUAUUUUCUUUUCUUCUUCUGUCAAACUUCGGAGCUUAAACUGUGAAUCAGUUGGUGUAACCACUGGCCUUGCUUCAAACAUUCCAAAUGUUUUCAGCACCUUUUCUAAGUACUCUCCCUGAGAUAGAAUCAAUUCCCCCUUCUCUCUAUCUCUUAUUAUGUCCAUGCCCAGAAUUCUUGAGGCCUUUCCCAAAUCUUUCAUCUCAAACUCACUUUUCAACUUAUCUUUGAGAUUUUGAAUCACUGUCAUACUCCCUGAAGCUAUCAGCAUAUCAUCCACAUAGAGCAACAAAUAAAUAGCUUUCUCUGUCUGGGUGUCUUUCAUGUAGACACACGGGUCUCGACUGCUCCUUUCAAACUGUUGGUCCCUCAUGAAUUUAUCAAACCUUUGAUUCCAACAUCUAGGAGACUGUUUUAGACCAUAUAAAGAUUUCCUCAACAGACAGACUUUGUCUUCAUUUCCUUUUUGCACAAAUCCUUCAGGUUGACUCAUUAGAAUCCUCUCUUCUAGAUUUCCAUGCAAAAAAGCUGUUUUAACGUCCAUUUGCUCCAACUCAUAGUCCAUGUUAACCACAAUAGAUAACAUUAAUCUGAUAGAGACAUGCUUAACCACCGGAGAAAACACUUCAUUAUAAUCUAUGCCUUCUUGUUGCAAAAAACCUUUAGCAACUAACCUGGCCUUAUAUCUCUGUUUCUCCACUCCUGGUAUUCCUGGCUUCAGUUUAAAGAUCCAUUUACACCCUACUAGUUUCUGCUUUUCAGGUUUCUCAAUAAGAUCCCAAGUAUGACUUUUCUGAUGAGAAUCCAUCUCCUCUUUCAUUGCAAUUUCCCAUUGUUUUCUAUCCUUGCUUUUCAUAGCUUCUUCAUAAGACUUAGGUUCUUCAAUCUCCAAGUCUUCAGCUGUUGACAAAGCAUAAGCAACAAAAUCUGCUUCUUCAAAUCUGGAUGGAGGUCGAACGUUGCUUCUCCUUUUUCUGUCUCUGGCCAACAAAUAAUCAUCUAGAGACUGUUCAUUUUCAGAUUCAUCAGCUCCCUCAUUCUCCUCUGAUUCUUCUGAACUUUCUGAGCUUCUUGAGCUUUCUGGACUUUCUGAGCUUUCUGAACUAUCUGAUGAAGAUGUUUCUCCACCUUGAGAAUAUGCUUCAUCCAAAUCAGAAUAACUGCUGGAAGGCCCUCUGAUAAGAUCCUCGCUAAAAGUCACUCUCUUACCAGCCUUUUUCAGUUUUUUCAACGCCUUAUCAGUUUCCUUUUUCUUUGCACCUGCAUUUUCCAACGUUUCCUUGAACACUUCAUUCUCAUUAAACACCACAUUUCUACUAGUUGUGCAUUUCCUUUCCUCAGGUAACCAGACUCUGUACCCUUUAAUACCAAAAGGAUAUCCCAUAAAAAUUCCUUUUACUGCUCUUGGACUUGUCUUACUUUGCGUAACAUGAACAAACGCUGAACAUCCAAACCUCCUUAGGUGACUCAAAUCUGGUUUUGAACCUGUCCACACUUCCUCGGGUAACUUGAAACCAAUAUAUGAAUUUGGUGUUCUGUUGAUUAAGUAGACUGCUGUAGAAGUAGCCUCAGCCCAAAACUCUUGACCCAAUCCCGUUUCAGCGAGCAUACUUCGAACUUUAUCCAUAAUAGUCCGGUUCAUCCUCUCGGAUACACCAUUUUGCUGCGGUGUGUAAGUACACGUUCUGUGCCUUUGAAUUCCUGCUUCCUUGCACAAGUUGUCAAACUGUGUAUUACAGAACUCUAGACCAUUAUCAGUUCUUAGAUACUUAAUCUUUUUCCCCACUUGAUUCUCAACGGCUUCUUUCCAUUCCUUGAACUUCUGAAAUGCUUCAUCCUUACUUUUCAGAAAAUAAACCCAUACUUUCUUUGAGAAGUCAUCAAUGAAGCUUACAAAGUACUUACAGCCACCAAGACUUUCUGGGGUAGAGGGAGAUCCCCAGAGAUCAGAAUGUAUAUAAUCUAAUAUACCUUUAGUGGUGUGCUUUGCCGUUGAGAAACUUUGCUUGUGAGAUUUUCCAAGUACACAACUCUCACAAAAUUCCAGCUUGUUUACUUCUUUUCCUGACAAGUAGCCUUCCUUAACUAGAACAUUCAUGUUCUUCAAGCUCAUAUGACCUAGCCUAGAAUGCCAUAAGCUAGUCAUGUUAACCUCUGGUUUUGCCACUGCAACUUCUCCUUUUACUACCCUUCCUUGUAGAUAGUACAACCCAUCUUGGUACCUUCCAGAGAUAACCUUCUGCCCAUCUUUGUAGAAAGUGACUACGAAAUCUUUUCCUUCAUAUUUACAGCCGCUCUUCUCUAAUUGACCAUAUGAAAUAAGGUUCCUUCCCAUUGUAGGUAUGUAUCUCACAUUCGUCAGUAUGACUAUAGAAUCAUUAGGAUUGAUUAUUUUAAUCUUACCAAUCCCCUUCACUUCGCUGUGAGUCAUAUUACCCAUCAACACCUUGCCACCAUCAAAUUCUUGUAAGUCAAAUAGAGAAUCCUUGUCAGGUGUGAUAUGAAAACUACAUCCAGAAUCCAUCACCCAUUCUUCCUUUGUGUCUUUAGUGCUAACUGUUAGCACUAGCGGCUGUUUGGGCUCUAUUGCAAUGUUUGCUGAACUUGAAGAUUUAUUUGAUGAUCUUUCUGGACAUUCCCUCUUCCAAUGUCCUUCUUUCCCACAUAUGAAACAGCCCUUGUUGUUUUUAUUGUAUCUGGACUUUGACUUUGAUCUACCUUUGCUUUUAGAUCGUCCUCUUCCUUGUUUCCCUUUUCCUUUUUCAGACCUCUUCUCAGAUCUGCCCCUUGUUUCAACAUACAAGCCUUCAUUUUGUGAUUUUGAAAGCUUUCCACUUUCUACUAACUCUCUUUCUUUUGAUUUCGCAGCCCCUAUGACUUCAUUCAACUUCAAGGUAUCUCUGCCGUACUUCAGAGUCUCUUUGAGUUGAUCGUACCUGUUAGACAAUGAGCUCAACAACAGGAUUGCUUGAACCUCUUCUGACACUUCCACUCCUAUGUUGUUCAGGUCUGCAACUAGCUUAAGGAAGUCAUCCACAUUCUCAUCUAUACUCUUAGAAUCUGUCAUCUUAAAAGUAUAGAACUUAAGCUGUAAGUAGAUGCGAUUAGGCAAAGAGGUCUCCAUGUAUAACCUGUUUAGAGUAGACCACAUGGCUGCAACAGUUUCACAAUGUGUGAUCUUCCUUAGUACUUGAUUUCCUACAUUUAGUACUAUAAGAUCCUUUGCCUUCUCUGAUUUUUCCAACUUUGCAGGAUCAAUACUUGUGGACAGCUCUGAACUUCCGCUUGUGCCCGUUUCAGAGUCUCUCUGAGCUGCUGCAGGUUCUACUCCAGUAGUAGGUGGGUCUUUUAGCAGCUGCUCAUCAUUCAAGAUCUCCUUCAGCCCUAGUACACCAAAGUGAGCCAUCAUUCUGACUUUCCACAAGGAGAAGUCACCAGUGCCAUCAAAUCUGUCCACCUCAACCCGAGUGUUACUCAUCCUGUAGUCUCCCUGAAACCCUAGACUUGAUUCUCCUUUGAACUGUUCACUGAGCCUGGAGCUCUGAUACCACUUGUGAAGGAGUAAGCAAUAGAACAGUUACUUGUGAAAGAAACAAACACAAAGAACUUUGAUCACCGAGUUCACGGAUAACCGCUACGUCUCGGGGGAGGACUCUUGCUCCCAACUUUCACUAUGAGAAUGAGGUUACAAACACCACUAACUUGUGAUGUUGUCUUUUGGUUUCAGAUACAAUCUCAAGAAGAACAAAGAUCAAAAGACAAAGAACAAAGAGGAGAAAGCUUGCUUGAAACUCCAACGUUCUCUCACUUUCUCUAGAACUCUCUUUUUUUUGCUUGUCUUGUCUCACCUACCUCCACUCACUCUUAUUCUCUUACACAUUGUAAUAUAUAAGAGAAGCAAUGGAUCUUUUGUCCUUCUUCCUCAUGUCAUUUUCGUCGGCCCAUUUAAGGCCCACUUUAGUGUGGUUUUGGUUUUGUCAAACCAACAACACAAAGGAAAGAGGUUGGAAAAGUAAAUAUAUGAAAGAAAUAUAGGUUUUAUUCAUGAUUAACAUAUUGUUGUUUAGCUCCUUGUAAAAUUUGGUU
rnacentral:lncRNA from 1 species